UCAUUUCAUAGCACAUUUGUG
rnacentral:piRNA from 1 species